GGAUCUUCCAAAAUCAUCAGUACAACCAGUGGAUAAGAGAAAACUGAGAUAAUUGCUUGUCAAGCUUUGCUUGAUGAUAAGAAUCACCUGGUUUGAAGAUUUAAAGUGCCUGUGCUGGUCCUCUCCCAAGCUUCAAGAAGAUCUUCUCAAGCUUCUUAUUUUUUCCCUUGGAGUUUCUGGUUCCUGAAUAGAACUGGAUUUCCAGAGCAUCGUCCCUGUGCAAGGAGAGUGGGAACUACCUGUGACAACAGUGGGCCCAGCAUCUUGUGGGAGGACCACGUUUGCUUUUUUAGUCAAGAGGAAAGCAGAAGUGACAUUGUCCCCACACACAGUGUCCUGGAUGUAUUCAGUCUAUAUCACGGCAGUCCAGCCUCUUCUGUUUGUAAAGAAAAUUCUACCCCAAGUUCUUAAAAUAAAAGAAUUGAGCUCAA